UCCUGGUAGCAUAGCAGGAGAGUUCCUGCCUUCUACGCAGGAGACCUAGGUUCAAAUCCUAUACAAA